UCGAGUGGCGAACGGGUGAGUAACGCGUGAGGAACCUGCCUCAAAGAGGGGGACAACAGUUGGAAACGACUGCUAAUACCGCAUAAGCCCACGGCUCGGCAUCGGGCAGAGGGAAAAGGAGCAAUCCGCUUUGAGAUGGCCUCGCGUCCGAUUAGCUAGUUGGUGAGGUAAUGGCCCACCAAGGCGACGAUCGGUAGCCGGACUGAGAGGUUGAACGGCCACAUUGGGACUGAGACACGGCCCAGACUCCUACGGGAGGCAGCAGUGGGGAAUAUUGCACAAUGGGGGAAACCCUGAUGCAGCGACGCCGCGUGGAGGAAGAAGGUCUUCGGAUUGUAAACUCCUGUUGUUGAGGAAGAUAAUGACGGUACUCAACAAGGAAGUGACGGCUAACUACGUGCCAGCAGCCGCGGUAAAACGUAGGUCACAAGCGUUGUCCGGAAUUACUGGGUGUAAAGGGAGCGCAGGCGGGAAGACAAGUUGGAAGUGAAAUCCAUGGGCUCAACCCAUGAACUGCUUUCAAAACUGUUUUUCUUGAGUAGUGCAGAGGUAGGCGGAAUUCCCGGUGUAGCGGUGGAAUGCGUAGAUAUCGGGAGGAACACCAGUGGCGAAGGCGGCCUACUGGGCACCAACUGACGCUGAGGCUCGAAAGU
rnacentral:rRNA from 1 species